UAGAACUAUAGUUAAUUUCUCUUCUUCGAUAUAGAGGAAGGGCAGCGGCGAGCUAGAGAUAUCUUUCUUCCGCGAUCAUCCGGAGCCCCGCCGGCAACGGAGGAGGCGGCGAUUGCGGCGGAGUGCGGUCGUGGCCGUCGACCACGUCGGUGUCGUCGUCGGGGAGGAGGAACUAAAAAGUGAAACGCCAACUACUCCGCCGGCCCCAAGGUCGACAACCUCUACCACUGGGUCUCCACCGUCAUGGGCCCUCGAGGUUAUAUUCACAAUACCACUGUGAUGUUGAUUGUGCUGGAAAACUAAAUCUGAACAUCUUGAAGAGCAGUUGGAGUCCGGGUCCAACAAUUUCAAAGGAUGAGUUUGAACUGUGCAAGGAGCACAGGGAACUGGAGGCCAUCUUUCAGGGCUAAGGGCAAAGAAGGUUGCUAGACAUUCCACAUAGUUAAGCAGUUGAUGGUGGAGGAAAGAGAAAGUUCUAAUCUAAGCUCUAAGGAAGAAGAAAAAAUAACUAUAAGGAAGAGAAAAUAACUAUCUUCAAGUGCUUUACUCUAAGGAUGAAGGAGAAACAAAGGGAAAGCAACUUUUGUAAGUUUUGAACUCUGGAAUUUAUAUAAGCUGAUAUGGGGAAGAAGUUGGUGAUGGUGCUAGUGCUGCUUAAACAGGAGGGAGAUGGAGAUGUGGGUUGAUGGUGGGGCGGAGCCACUUGGGAAACGAUACUGUCCAAAGGACUAAAGGAUGAAGGAGGGAGGAAUAUGGAUGACUCAGACCUUUGUGAGCCACAAGGAGUGGGGACCAAAAAACAAGAAGAUAGUAUGUAGGAAUGGAGAGAAUCAGCCUGUUCCUCUUAGGAGGGAAGGAAUCUUUCUGACUGGAAGUUAUUGCAUCUGAUAUGGAUGUUUACUUCUUCCCCUUCAUAUUUCUUUAGUGGCACUCUUUGUUCCAUUGUGUAAUCUUCAUCAAUACUCAACCUUUUAAAUUUAUCAUUCUUUUCUGUAUAUUAUGCAGUGUUCCAUAUAUGAGAUAUUCAGUGUAUGAAUGAAAUCCAGAUUGCAAAAGCUAUAGAACAAGGUUGCCCUUAAAAAUUAGCUUAUCUGAUUAGGAUCUUCUAAGCUAAAUGGAAUUCUUAGACGCCAAUAGUUACCAUUAUAAAUUUCUGUUUGUUCUUUGCUUCCCGCCUUGACAGGUGACAAACAUUUGUAGCUUACGAUAGUCGGCCACAUUGGUCUUAAUAAAUUUUGAUUCUGACAUGGAAUAAGAAUAUUAAGCAUGCCACUUGCUAAAAAGAGAGCCAGUCAAGGGAUUUGCAUAAAAUCUAGCUGUGAUAUUCCUUUUUAGAGAAUUUAGAGAAAGAUCUAUGCCUGCUGCUGAAUCUGAUCUCUUAUCUGUCCCCCAGUUUUGUGGAAAUAGGGACAGGAAAUUUUUGGGCCUGCAGUCCUUUGUUCACUUGAAUCAUCUUUUCAAUCUCAAAAAGAGAAAUGCUACCGUGGAUUCUGCUCAGUCAGUCGUCAAUUCCUUGUGCUGAUGUUCUCAAAAAUUGAAUUGGAGAGUUCCCAUUCUCUCCAACUCGUACCUGAACGAAAGAGGGUCCGUUGUUCGAUAAUGACCGUCCACGAUUGGUGUGAUGGCCAUUAUCAGAUAACCCCAUCUUAUAUAUGUGAUAGUGUGCUGGUGGGGCUCACCUAGUCAUGGCUGUCAUGCCAAUCAUGGAUGAGUGUGAUGGGGGAACCGGCCCUCUCCAAUUUACAUAUGAACUAACUCUGAAUUGGGUAAUGCCAACAUUAAUGCUAUUCAUUGAGGGAUCAGCACAGUAUACUAGCACUUUGAUAUUAAAGAACACUGAUAAUUCUCACUCUUCCAAGAAACACUAACUUGUUUUUUCUUCUCAGGAUGAGCUGUUAGUUUAAACUUGUCGGCACCUUUCUCUCCAUAAGAAGAGGUAUGAGGUUCCAAAUAACCACCAUAUUUCAUAGAGAAAAACAUGUUUCUAACAUUUGUGGGUAUGCUGUACUCCAUUUAUGGUGAUGAGAAAAUAUAGCUUAGGUGUGUGUAUAUUGUGCUUCAUUUAAAUGAUGAUAUGCUUCCAUAAUUUCAUCCACCAGAAGAGCGGAACGAGACAAAAUUUCUAUUCUGCUCUCUAUCAAAAUAAGGCUUACAUGCUGGCUUUUGACUAUAGGAGAUUUCACUGGCAAGCUUAUCAUUUCUUCUUCACAAAUUUGUUUACUUAUUUGUUUCUGACUGAUACUAAUCCGAAUUGGAUAUUAAUAGCAUAGAUAUAGAAUGGGCAAUGUAAACUUUGUUGCAGAAUAUUAUUCCAUUUUAUGUUCUAUCAACACAAAGUAUACAAGCCUUCCAUGUUUAUUUUUUUGUUGGGAGUAAAUGAUUGUACAAAAAGUAUACAACACUGUCCAGGUAAGCAUUAUUGAAAUGAUGUAUUUGACUAAUAAGAGGGAGGCAAAAAAACUUCGGUCAUGGAUGAGGACUAACAAAAAGUUGUGAAGACAAACCUUCUCUCUAUUUGACUGUGGAUGGUCAUUAGUGUACCAAAGGAUUCUAUAUAUUUAUCAACAAGAACUGGUUUACGCAAUGAAAAGCCGAGCCCAUGGAUGCGAAAUGGAUAUCUUGGAAUCUUUGAAAUGACAUAUCAACAACUUGGUCCUGGGAGAAUCUUAACCUAUAGGAAUACGUAGGAUCUGCCCUUCUACAAGUUGAUGUCCCAUUCUCUCUCUCAAAGAAAAAAGAAAGGGAGAAAAAAAGAAACAAUUGAUGGCUCCUCUUGCAUAUACGCACUGCUAAAAGUCCUUGAGAGUAGUCCGCAGAAGUUGGAUCUGAAAGAGGCUAGCUGAGAAGGACUCCUGUUGAAGAAUCUUUCAGGAACUUGAGGACUAGCAGAAAACAUAUGCUUCAACAGAUUUCGUAUAUUGAUUGUUGCCUAUCAAUUUGUAAAUUUCCGUGAUGCCAUUACGUGGUAUAGAUUUUUAUUGACCGUCAGGUACAUUGUUCACAAGAUGCCUCAUCCAAGUUCAAUAUUACAGGAAUUUUAUAGAAUUUUAUAUUCUUUUCUUUUUA